rnacentral:rRNA from 1 species
GAUGAACGCUGGCGGCGUGCCUAAUACAUGCAAGUCGAGCGAACAGACGCGGCGCUUGCUCCUUUGACGUUAGCGGCGGACGGGUGAGUCACACGUGGGUAACCUCCCUAUAAGACUGGUAUCACUUCGGGACACCGGAGCUAAUCCCGUAUAAUAUUUCGAACCGCAUGGUUCGAUAGUGAAAGAUGGCUUUUCUAUCACUUAUCGCUGGACCUGCGCCGUAUUAGCUAGUUGGUAAGGUCACGGCUUACCAAGGCAACGAUACGUAGCCGACCUGAGAGGGUGAUCGGCAACACUGGAACUGAGACACGGUCCAGACGACUAAGGGAGGCAGCAGUAGGGAAUCUUACGCAAUGGGCGAAAGCAUGACGGAGCAACGCCGCGUGAGUGAUGAAGGUCUUCGGAGCGUAAAACUCUGUUAUUAGGGAAGAACAAACGUGGAAGGAACUGUGCACGUAGUGACGGUACCUAAUCAGAAAGCCACGGCUAACUACGUG